rnacentral:lncRNA from 1 species
GCAUAUGUAUGUAUGUAUACAUAUAUCAAUAUAUAUAUACGUGUUUGUGUGUGUGAAAUUCAUAUGAUAGAGUAGAGAUCUACCAAAUUCUUCAUGACCUCAACCUGUGUAGCAAGACACUUUAUAUAAUCAGCAGUUUCAUCCAACAACCCUAAUGCAUCCAUAGUUGAAGAACCGGGUACAAGCUUCCUCAGCUUCACUUCUUGACCCGAAUUACCAAACGGGUCAGAAUAUUCUCUUUUAGGGUUUGAGUAAUUAGGUGUUCUUCUCUUCGCAGAUCCUGCAUGAACAUGAUGAUGACGUAAAGGGGUAGUGAUUUUAUGAUCAACCCUUUUGAAUCUUGCUAACACAGCUCGGUUUCGGAUCUUCCAUAAGAUCGCGCGGCUCCAAGCGCGUCUUGACCCGACAACAUAUGCCAUUGAUGCGUAGGCUGCAAGCUUGACCCGGUGAGAUCUUCGGAUCUGGGUGGUGUCAAGAUUGGAUCUUUUUGUGUUGAGGUUGUUUAGAUUGUGGAGAAAACGAUAGGCUAGUCGGAUCUUGAGAGAAUUAGGGUUUAUGGAUGUUGGUUGUUGAGGUGGAGACAUGAUGGGAUUAAACUACUUCUGACACAAAGAGGACGAGGUCCCAAAUUGAAGAAAGAUUGUAUGUUGUACUUUGUUUCUGACACAAAAUCUACACAGUAGAGAGAGAGAGAGAAAGGUGUGAAGAGAAUGAACAAAGUAGAAGGGAGAAUAUGAGGUUUUGAUGGAAAGAAAUUUGAAAAUAUGAAAGAGUUUGUAGAGAGAGAGAGAGAGAUUGGGAGAGAGAGAGAGAGACACAUGGGAAUCAAUCUUUAUGGAGUGAUGUGGAUGAUAUAUUAUUCAAUUUAUUUAAGAUUGAUAUGA